CCUACGGGGUGCACCAGUGGGGAAUAUUGGACAAUGGGCGAAAGCCUGAUCCAGCAAUGCCGCGUGUGUGAAGAAGGUCUUCGGAUUGUAAAGCGCUUUCGACGGGGACGAUGAUGACGGUACCCGUAGAAGAAGCCCCGGCUAACUUCGUGCCAGCAGCCGCGGUAAUACGAAGGGGGCUAGCGUUACUCGGAAUGACUGGGCGUAAAGGGCGCGUAGGCGGUUUAUGCAGUCAGAUGUGAAAUCCCCGGGCUUAACCUGGGAACUGCAUUUGAGACGCAUAGACUAGAGGUCGAGAGAGGGUCGUGGAAUUCCCAGUGUAGGGGUGAAAUUCGUGGAUAUUGGGAAGAACACCGGUGGCAAAGGCGGCAACCUGGCUCGAUACUGACGCUGAGGCGCGAAAGCGUGGGGAGCAAACAGGAUUAGAUACCCCGGUAGUC
rnacentral:rRNA from 1 species